GCCUGAGGGUGGGAGGCGGGCAUCAGCCAGCAGCCCUGCCUCCACGGACGCCUCCCAGCUACCCUGGGGCCACACCAGGUGCUCAUAAGCACAGGCUCAGGGGCGGCUCCCGGUGUUGCAAGCCCAGGCCCAAGCGUCCUGGCUGUGUGACCCCUGCCAAGUGAAUGCCUCAGUUCCCCCAUCGACGGGAUCACAACAGUCUAUGUCUCUUUAUGGGCCUCCUGGGGGUGCUACGUGGUUACGGAACGCACAGGCCCACCAUCCAGGGCAGCAACAUCCGUGUGCCCCGCGCUAUGCGAUGUGCUCCAAGGACCUGUGUUCCAGUUUUCCAGACUGACCUGGUGACAGGGCCCUUACGGAACAAAGCCAGGCCAUCCUCCUUUCCGGCUCCCGCCCUCUCGAAUCCCCACGGCAAUUCACCAUCGUGCGCAUUUCACAGAGGCCAAAAGCGAGGCCCAGAAGGGUGAAAUGAAUCACCCAAAGGCGCCAGCAAAGCUAGGAUUUGAACCCAAAGCCAAACCCACUCCUGAAAACUGUCCUAAAGAACAAUUUUCAACGAGUUGUUAAAACCGAGGGCACUAGGAAAAAUAAUGCGGCCACUGGCUCCCGCCCUGGGCAAAACCACUGCCGUCCGAGUGACCAGAACUGGAAGUCCGGGCUCUAGAACUAUUCUGGCUAUAGACCUGCUUGUCUUUAACAUCUGGGGACGGAUCUGGCCCCUGCCGCCUGGAGGAAGCGAAGCAGCACUGCCAUGUCGGUGCAGGUGACGCACAGCAGACCUGCAAGGAAGGCCUGAGCAGCGAGGAUCCUCCGGAAACCCCGAGCCCUGCUCUGUGCCCAGGUCAGUGUGGCCUCACCUCCUUCGCUCACAGCCUGCACGGCUGCAUCCAAGAAGGGGGCGGGGCUGCCAUAUGGGUCCAGGUCGAUGACGUCAAACCGCUCCGAUGCCCUCUGGUGCUGGUACAUCAGCAUCCUGGGAGCGAGAAGGCCCCGGUCCUCAGCGCCCUGCGUUAGGGACCUGCUCUGUCCCCUACACGUGUCCUCUCAUUGGGUGUGAUGGUUUCGGCCUGCAUUUGGAGGCCAGCUGGCUAGGCUCGGACCCUGGCCUGGCCGUGUGCUAACUAACCACGUGACUUUUCUUCCUUGGGCCUCAGUGUACUCGUGUCUAACAACAGCAAUAAUAAUAGCCAAUGGUGACGUGACAUACAUAUGCCUGACAACUGUUUCAAGCCGUUUAUAGAUUAACUCAUCUAAUCAAAUAACCUUCCAGGCAAAUCUUACGGAAUGGAAUCAUUACUGUUUCCUUUGUAGGAUGACAUGAUACUCUAUGGAACACGCAAAAGAUUCCACAAGAAAACUGCUGGACUGAUCCACGGAUUCAGCAAAGUCGCAGGAUAUAAAAUCAAUGCACAGAAAUCAGUUGCAUUUCUAUACGCCCAUAGUGAAGCAACAGAGAGAGAAAUCAAGGAAUCGAUCCCAUCUACAACUGCACCAAAAACCACAGAAUAUCUAGGAGUGAACCUAACCAAAGAGGUGAAAAAGCUAUAUGCUGAAAGCUAAAGAAAACUUAUGAAAGAAACUGAAGACACAAAAAAAUGGAAAAAGAUUCCCUGCUCCUGGGUUGGAAGAACAACUAUUGUUAAAAUGUCGAUACUCCCCAAAGGAAUCUACAUAUUCAAUGCGAUGCCGAUCAAAAUGACACCAGCAUUCUUCACAGAGCUAGAACAAAAAACCCUAAAAUCUGAAUCAGAAAA